AGGAACUUAGGUUAAACCAAACCAGAGACCUUCAAAGUCUCCAAUAUGCCACCACACAUAGUUCCUG
rnacentral:tRNA from 1 species